GCCCGCCUAGCUCAAUCGGAUAGAGCGUCAGACUCUUAGGCAGGGCAUCUGAAGGCUGGGAGUUCGACCCUCCCGGUGGGCU